rnacentral:rRNA from 1 species
CGAACGCUUUUUCUUUCACCGGAGCUUGCUCCACCGAAAGAAAAAGAGUGGCGAACGGGUGAGUAACACGUGGGUAACCUGCCCAUCANAAGGGGAUAACACUUGGAAACAGGUGCUAAUACCGUAUAACACUAUUUUCCGCAUGGAAGAAAGUUGAAAGGCGCUUUUGCGUCACUGAUGGAUGGACCCGCGGUGCAUUAGCUAGUUGGUGAGGUAACGGCUCACCAAGGCAACGAUGCAUAGCCGACCUGAGAGGGUGAUCGGCCACACUGGGACUGANACACGGCCCAGACUCCUACGGGAGGCAGCAGUAGGGAAUCUUCGGCAAUGGACGAAAGUCUGACCGAGCAACGCCGCGUGAGUGAAGAAGGUUUUCGGAUCGUAAAACUCUGUUGUUAGAGAAGAACAAGGAUGAGAGUAAAAUGUUCAUCCCUUGACGGUAUCUAACCAGAAAGCCACGGCUAACUACGUGCCAGCAGCCGCGGUAAUACGUANGUGGCAAGCGUUGUCCGGAUUUAUUGGGCGUAAAGCGAGCGCAGGCGGUUUCUUAAGUCUGAUGUGAAAGCCCCCGGCUCAACCGGGGAGGGUCAUUGGAAACUGGGAGACUUGAGUGCAGAANAGGAGAGUGGAAUUCCAUGUGUAGCGGUGAAAUGCGUAGAUAUAUGGAGGAACACCANUGGCGAANGCGGCUCUCUGGUCUGUAACUGACGCUGANGCUCGAAAGCGUGGGGAGCGAACAGGAUUAGAUACCCUGGUAGUCCACGCCGUAAACGAUGAGUGCUAAGUGUUGGANGGUUUCCGCCCUUCAGUGCUGCAGCAAACGCAUUAAGCACUCCGCCUGGGGAGUACGACCGCANGGUUGANCUC